rnacentral:rRNA from 1 species
AUCUAGCAUAUCAAUAAGCGGAGGAAAAGAAACUAACAAGGAUUCCCCUAGUAACUGCGAGUGAAGCGGGAAAAGCUCAAAUUUAAAAUCUGACAGUCUCUGGCUGUCCGAGUUGUAAUCUAGAGAAGCAUUAUCCGCACUGGACCAUGUAUAAGUCUCCUGGAAUGGAGCGUCAUAGAGGGUGAGAAUCCCGUUUUUGACAUGGACUACCUGUGCUUUGUGAUGUGCUCUCAAAGAGUCGAGUUGUUUGGGAAUGCAGCUCUAAAUGGGUGGUAAAUUCCAUCUAAAGCUAAAUAUUGGCGAGAGACCGAUAGCGAACAAGUACCGUGAGGGAAAGAUGAAAAGAACUUUGGAAAGAGAGUUAAACAGUACGUGAAAUUGUUGAAAGGGAAACGCUUGAAGUCAGUCACAUUGAUCAGGAAUCAACCUGGCAUAUUUUGUUUGGUGUAUUUUCUGGUUAAUGGGUCAGCAUCAAUUUUGACCAGUGGCAAAAGGUCAGGGGAAUGUGGCAUCCUUGGAUGUGUUAUAGCCUCUGAUUGUAUACAUUGGUUGGAAUUGAGGAACUCAGCACUUGUUGUUAAGGAUGCUGGCAUAAUGGCUUUAAUCGACCCGUCUUGAAACACGGACCAAGGAGUCCAACAUGCCUGCAAGUGUUUGGGUGGAAAACCCAAGCGCGUAAUGAAAGUGAAAGUUGGGAUCUCUGUCAUAGGGAGCACCGACACCCAGACCAGACCUUUUGUGACGGAUCUGCGGUAGAGCAUGUAUGUUGGGACCCGAAAGAUGGUGAACUAUGCCUGAAUAGGGUGAAGCCAGAGGAAACUCUGGUGGAGGCUCGUAGCGAUUCUGACGUGCAAAUCGAUCGUCGAAUUUGGGUAUAGGGCGAAAGACUAAUCGAACCUC